rnacentral:rRNA from 1 species
AAAACAAACUUUUAUAACAUAUCGCAGGGAAACCGUAUAUAGCGGUAGACACCGAGUGUCAGCAUAAUAAGAGAGGGUGUCCAGGUGUGUAAAAUACACCUGAAGCAAGGGCCGGGCAAGACCGGGGCCAGCCGCCGCGGUAACACCGGCGGCCCGAGGGGGGAUCGUCAUUAUUGGGCCUAAAGGGUCCGUAGCCGGUUUGGUCAUCCUUCCGGAAAAUCUGAUAUCUCAACUAUUAGGGAGGGGGGGGAAUACUGCCGGGCUGGGAACCGGGAGAGGUAAAAGGUACUACGGGGGUGGGAGGGAAAUCUUGUAAUCCCUGUGGGACCACCUGGGGGGAAGGGUUCUUACCAGAGCGGGGUCAACGGUGAGGGAAAAUUCUGGGGCCCCGGACCCGGAUUAUAUACCCGGUUAUUCCCACCCGUAAACUUGCCCGCUGGGGGUCAGGCAUGGGGCCCCGUGUUUGGUGCCCCCGGAAGCCGUAAACUUAACCAUUUGGGAGGGCGGGCGCAGGGUUGAAACUUAAAGAAAUUGUCUCUAAAAGGGCGAAUUCGCGGCCGCUAAAUUCAUUCGCCCUAAAAAGAAUGAUUACAUUCCCUGGCCGUCUUUUUACA